GAGCAUGCUGUAAUGUAAAGAGAAGAUGAAAUAUAACGUAUACAUGAAACUUAUGUUAUAAACCAACGUUACCUCAAUAAAAGAUUUUUUUAAAGUAAUUCCUUUACUAGUUCUCAAAGUACGGCCCCACUCCAGCAGCAUCAACACCACUUGGAAACUUCUUGAAAUGCAAAUUCUCAGGCCCUACCCCUGACCUUCUGAAUCAGAAACUCUGGAGUGGAGGCCAGUAAUCUGUCUUUUUAAAGCCCUCCAGGUGAUCUGACGCACACUAAGGUUUCUGAACCUCAAUAUUCUAGGGAUUAUAAUAUUCACUCCUUACUUAUUACACUCUACUUCAGUUAAUACUGUAUACUCUCACUACAAAUUUAAGAAACAAACACAACAGUUCCAUUUUACACAUGUAUUUACUAUUUCUGGUGCUGUUACUCUGUAGUCAAGGUUCCAUCUGGUAUCAUAUCCCUUCAAUCUGAAAAGUUCAUUUGACAUAGCAUCUAGUGUUCUUUUCCCGUAAGAAGUCAGCUGCUGUUUGUAUCACUGUUCCUCAUAUAAUGUUGUUUUUCUAAUGAAUGCUUUCAAGAUUUGCUCUGUAUUUUUUCUGUAUUGUGUCUAAUUAUAGGUUAUGUAUACACGUGGGUUAUAUGCCUUGGGGUUUAGAGUACUGUGGAUCUGUACUUUUUUUUUUUUUAAAUCGAGUUUGGGAAAGGUGGCCAAAAUGGCGGAGUAGGAAGUCCUUGCGCUCACCUCUUCCCAUCGGCACACCAAAAUUACAAUAUUUACAGAGCAACUAUUGAUGAGAAAGACCAGAAGACAAGCAAUAAUGAUCUUCUACAACUAAAGAUGCAAAGGAACCACGACCGGACAGCUGUGCCGUGCAGCAUGAGGAUUCUAGUUCCCCAACCAGGGAUCAAACCCGUGCCCCCUGCAGUGGAAGCAUGGAGCCCUAAUCACUGGACCACCAGGGAAUUCCCGUUUCUUUUUUUUUUUGGCAGUACGCCGGCCUCUCACUGUUGUGGCCUCUCCCAUUGCAGAGCACAGGCUCCGGACGCGCAGGCUCAGAGGCCACGGCUCAUGGGCCCAGCCACUCCACGGCAUGUGGGAUCUUCCUGGACCGGGGCAUGAACCCGUGUCACCUGCAUCAGCAGGCGGACUCUCAACCACUGCGCCACCAGGGAAGCCCCCGUUUGAUUCUUAAUACUGAAUUUUCAGAGUUCUUCAUACAUUCUGGAUAUAAUAUACACUUUCAGCAAUCAAAUUUUAUUUAAAUAGUAUUUUUGCAUAGUUAAUACAUUCAUAGGCUUCUAAUUUAAAAGGUUCAAAAGGCACUGAAAACUCUAAUACCUCUGUCCCUCGGUUUCCUGUCUUCCAGAGGAUCAUGACUGUAAGUUUUCUACAUGUCCUUCAUUGAUACUUUAGGAAUACACAAGCAAAAACUGCUUAUGUUCCUUUCUUAUUUUCCCCAAAUAGCUACAAUAUGCUCUGUUGUGUAUUUUGCUUUCUUAAAGUAUCUUAGCAAUCACUUCUAUAUCAGUACAUUAGAAAACUCCUCUGUUUUUUGGUGGGUUUUUUUGGCCACACCACACAGCAUGCGGGAUGCUGGUUCCCCGACUAGGGAUUGAACCUGCGACCGCUGCAAUGGAAGUGCAGGGUCUUAACCCCUGGACCUCCAGGGAAGUCCAACUUCCUCUGAUUUUAAGUUAAAUGAUUUCAGAGUUUUCUACUAUUUUGAGGUACCAUACUUUAAUUAAUCAUUCCUCUAUUUAUGGACACUUAGGUUUUUGCCAAUCUUUUGCUUCUACAAAUACUACUGUACGUGUCAUUUUACCCAUGUACAAGUAUUUCUGUGAUCUAAAUUCGCAAAAGUACUAGGUUACAGGGUAUGGAAAUUUGAAAAUUUGACAGAUAUUACCAAAUUGCCCUCCACAGAGGUUAUAUAAAUUUAAUCUCUCACCACCAAUAGUGACUUUUUCACCACACCAUUGCCAAACCCAACAUAUUAAAACUUUAUGAACUCCAUUGAUCUGAUAGUUAAAAACAGUAUUCUGAUUUUAUAUUUGAUUUUAUAUUUCUCACUAUGAGUAAGAUUGAACUGUUUUCAUCUGUUCAGAAGAGCCAUUUCUUUUUCCUUUCUUAUGUACUGUCAUAUAAACAGACACUUUUAUUAUAGGUUAUUUGACUUUUUUUAAUUGAUUCAUACAUAGUUCUUCAUAUAUUUGGAAAUUAGUCCUUUGUUGUAAGAAUUAUAAAUAUUUCUGUUAUUGUCUUUUGACUUUGUUUAUGGAUUUUCUGUAGGGGGGCAAUGCAAAAUGUUUUCAUUUUUAUGAAGUCAAAUUUAUCGAUAUUUUCUUUUAUGGUUGCUAGCUUUGGGGCCUGUUAGAAAGAUCUUCUCCAAUUCAAGAUUAAGCAAAACUCUCCUACAGGUUCCCCUAGUGGUUUUACUGUUUCAUUUUAAAAAUGUGAAUCUCUGAUCCUUUUCAAAUGUUUCCUGGUAUAAAGUAUGAGAUAUGAAACCAACUUGUGUUUUCUUAGAUUGCUUCAGAGUGGUCUCAGUAUCCAUUAAAUAAGUAAUUUAACCCCUCUCUCCCUAUGUGCUUGAGAUGCAACCACUGUUAUCAUGUAUUAAAUUCCUAUAGACAUCUUUGAUUCUAUCUGGACUUUCUCUCUCUUUUUUUUUUUAGUUUUAAUUUUAUUGGAGUAUAGUUGAUUUACAAUGUGGUGUUAGUUUCAUGGGCUUUCUCUCCUUUUUUUUUUU